UACGGAGGUGGCAAGCGUUGUUCGGAAUUACUGGGCGUAAAGCGCACGUAGGCGGAUUUGUAAGUCAGGGGUGAAAUCCCGGGGCUCAACCUCGGAACUGCCUUUGAUACUGCAAAUCUCGAGUCCGGAAGAGGUGAGUGGAAUUCCUAGUGUAGAGGUGAAAUUCGUAGAUAUUAGGAAGAACACCAGUGGCGAAGGCGGCUCACUGGUCCGGUACUGACGCUGAGGUGCGAAAGCGUGGGGAGCAAACAGG
rnacentral:rRNA from 1 species